rnacentral:rRNA from 1 species
GAUGAACGCUGGCGGCGUGCCUAAUACAUGCAAGUCGAGCGAACGGACGAGGAGCUUGCUCCUCUGAUGUUAGCGGCGGACGGGUGAGUAACACGUGGAUAACCUACCUAUAAGACUGGGAUAACUUCGGGAAACCGGAGCUAAUACCGGAUAAUAUAUUGAACCGCAUGGUUCAAUAGUGAAAGACGGUCUUGCUGUCACUUAUAGAUGGAUCCGCGCGGCAUUAGCUAGUUGGUAAGGUAACGGCUUACCAAGGCAACGAUGCAUAGCCGACCUGAGAGGGUGAUCGGCCACACUGGAACUGAGACACGGUCCAGACUCCUACGGGAGGCAGCAGUAGGGAAUCUUCCGCAAAGGGCGAAAGCCUGACGGAGCAACGCCGCGUGAGUGAUGAAGGUCUUCGGAUCGUAAAACUCUGUUAUUAGGGAAGAACAUAUGUGUAAGUAACUGUGCACGUCUUGACGGUACCUAAUCAGAAAGCCACGGCUAACUACGUG